UACGUAGGUGGCAAGCGUUGUCCGGAUUUAUUGGGUUUAAAGGGUGCGUAGGCGGCCUAUUAAGUCAGUGCUGAAAUAUCCCGGCUUAACCGGGAGGGUGGCAUUGAUACUGAUGGGCUUGAGUAGAGUCGAGGUAGGCGGAAUUGACGGUGUAGCGGUGAAAUGCUUAGAUAUCGUCAAGAACACCGAUAGUGUAGACAGCUUACUAGGCUCAAACUGACGCUGAGGCACGAAAGUGUGGGGAGCAAACAGG
rnacentral:rRNA from 1 species